rnacentral:rRNA from 1 species
ACGAAAAAUACCUUGAGCUGUUGCGUUAUUGCGCUGCUUAGAUGCAGUGUUGCACAUAUCACUUUUGCUUCAACGACUGCUGCUUUCGCUGUAACCCUAGACAGAUAACAAUAAGCGCUUUUUGUAGGCAAGAGCUCCGCCUAUGACUAACUGCGCCAAAAUAUCUUCCAAUCCCCUUAUCCAAUUUAAUUCAUCGAAUUCUUACAAUUUAGACCCUAAUAUCACAUCAUUAGACAUUAAUUGCCUCUGCCAAAAUUCUGUCUACAAAUGUUUUAGUUCGCUCCAGUAAAGUUGUUAAUAACGACUACUAAAUCCGCAUGUUACGGGAUUUCUUAUUAAUUCUUUUUUCGUAAGGAACAGCGGAUCUUAAUGGAUGGCGCCAGGUGGUAUGGAAGCUAAU